rnacentral:rRNA from 1 species
AGUGAACGCUGGCGGUAGGCCUAACACAUGCAAGUCGAACGGCAGCACAGUAAGAGCUUGCUCUUACGGGUGGCGAGUGGCGGACGGGUGAGGAAUACAUCGGAAUCUACUUUUUCGUGGGGGAUAACGUAGGGAAACUUACGCUAAUACCGCAUACGACCUACGGGUGAAAGCAGGGGAUCUUCGGACCUUGCGCGAUUGAAUGAGCCGAUGUCGGAUUAGCUAGUUGGCGGGGUAAAGGCCCACCAAGGCGACGAUCCGUAGCUGGUCUGAGAGGAUGAUCAGCCACACUGGAACUGAGACACGGUCCAGACUCCUACGGGAGGCAGCAGUGGGAAAUAUUGGACAAUGGGCGCAAGCCUGACCCAGCCAUACCGCGUGGGUGAAGAAGGCCUUCGGGUUGUAAAGCCCUUUUGUUGGGAAAGAAAAGCAGCGGGUUAAUACCCCGCUGUUCUGACGGUACCAAAAGAAUAAGCACCGGCUAACUUCGG